AAUGAACGCUGGCGGCAUGCCUUACACAUGCAAGUCGAACGGUAGCGGGCCUUCGGGUGCCGACGAGUGGCGAACGGGUGAGUAAUGUAUCGGAACGUACCAUUGAGUGGGGGAUAACGUAGCGAAAGUUACGCUAAUACCGCAUAUUCUCUCCGGAGGAAAGCAGGGGACCGCAAGGCCUUGCGCUCUUUGAGCGGCCGAUAUCAGAUUAGCUAGUUGGUGAGGUAAAGGCUCACCAAGGCGACGAUCUGUAGCGGGUCUGAGAGGAUGAUCAGCCACACCGGAACUGAGACACGGUCCGGACUCCUACGGGAGGCAGCAGUGGGGAAUAUUGCGCAAUGGGCGAAAGCCUGACGCAGCCAUACCGCGUGUGUGAAGAAGGCCUCGGUUGUAAGCACUUCUAGUGGGAGGAAAGACGGGUGGCGUAAUAUCCAUACGGCCGUGACGCGUACCCACACG
rnacentral:rRNA from 1 species